UACAGAGGUCUCAAGCGUUUGUUCGGAUUCAUUGGGCGUAAAGGGUGCGUAGGUGGCGCGGUAAGUCGGGUGUGAAAUUUCGGAGCUUAACUCCGAAACUGCAUUCGAUACUGCCGUGCUUGAGGACUGGAGAGGAGACUGGAAUUUGACGGUGUAGCAGUGAAAUGCGUAGAGAUCGUAAGGAAGACCAGUGGCGAAGGCGGGUCUCUGGACAGUUCCUGACACUGAGGCACGAAGGCCAGGGGAGCAAACGGG
rnacentral:rRNA from 1 species